GAAAAAAGGUCAAAUAAUCUUGGUUCUGUUCUUGUUGUAAGGUUUUUAUGGUAAUAACAAUAUCUCUUCAUCUACUCGGUCUGACUGACAAGUACCAAUCUGCAUUCCCAGUACGGUGGUCAGCGGGCGCUGUGGUCGCAAUGUCAGUUGCAAGAUGUCCAUCCGGUUGUCGCUGUAUUGAGAUGUCCAAGAAAUUUGCCAUGGUGGAGCUGACCCUGCCACAAAAAUAGCACAUCGUCGAUGUAGCGGAGCCAGCACUGCACAUGGUGGCCUUCCCGCAUUCCGCCGCACUGAAAUACCUCCCUCUCCCAGUAUCUUAGGAAAAGGUUGGCGUACAAUGGAGCACAGGCCGUGCCCAUGGCAGUGCCAUGUUUUUG